UUUUUUUGUUAAAUUUGUGUGUCUGUUUAAUUCUUUUCUGCCUUUUGUCCAUAUUCUACAUCAAUAUUAGGGAUGCUUGUCUGGAUAGACAUUUUUCUGCUUUUAAACAGACACACAAAUUUAACAACAUGGCAUCCUAAUGCAGUUGAGAGUAACAUAUCAUGAUACAAAGUUUUUAACAAGACAAUUCAUACCAUCAAUCAUCUAUUCUUAGCCAUUGCCACCAUCAACAUGUCUCUAGUCAGUUCCAUGAACUGAAUCAAUCUUCCCUUCAUCAGUUAAGCAAAAUAUUAUCAUAAUGGUUUAGCAUUCAGGUAGUUAACAGCAUAAUCAUCGGAAGAAUGUCAGGGAAAUAUGUGCCCUUGUGAUUUAUAUGCAGGCUUUUCUGUACAAAGUGAGAAGCUACCAUUCAUUUGAGGACGUCAAGUGCUGCAGCUGCUUUUAGUAACUGGUAAUGUCCCUUUUUUGGCAAACAUCCUCGUUUGGAUGUUUGAUUGACAAUUCUUAAGGUGGAAAUUUUGUUGGAUUUCAACUGAAGCAAACAUCAGGUAAGUAGGGGAGCUUGAGAUUGCCAUGGCAGUAGCGAAUUUUCUUAACAUGCGAGGGACUUUUGGGUCGAUCUUUGUGGUAGUUGUUGCCAUUCAACAAAUUGAGUAGGUAGAGAGAAUCAUGGGUGAGGGAAAGAUAUCAUAGCAGGGGAAUAUAGUUUCACUAGUAAGUCUUUAACACCAAUUGGGUCUGUCUGCUGUCCUCUUUACUCUUUAUAGAGUACCCUUCUAGCUGUUAUGCUUCUCCAUGUCAUUGUCCCUAAUUUAACAGCAUUAUUGUUACAAUAGUUU
rnacentral:misc_RNA from 1 species